AUGAAAUCUUUGCUCAUGCCUAUGUGCUGAAUGGUAUUGCCUAGAUUGUCUUCUAGGGUAUUCAUAGUUUUGGGUUUUACAUUUAAGUCUUCUCUCCCCUUGUGAAGGUACCAGUCAGUGAUUAAAGUGCAGAACAACUUCCCCAAUACAGGAAUCUAGCUUCUGAAAAUAUAAGACUUGAGAAAGGGAGGGCUGGGAAACAAGAGCUGUGACUCACCCUGAAGACAUUCAUAAAUAUCUAUUUUAAUAUCUAUUACAAUACAGCAAUAAAGGCAAACUAAAAAAGGCUAUACAAGGCAUUUUGCCUUUGGGAGACCAAGGCGGGCAGAUCACUUGAGGUCAGGAGUCAGAGACCAGCCUGGCCAACAUGGCGAAACCCCAUCUCUACUGAAAAUACAAAAAUUAGCCAGGCAUGGUGGCUUGCGUCUGUAAUCCCAGCUACUUGAGAGGCUGAGACACAAGAAUCGCUUGAAUCCUGGAGGCAGAGGUUGCAGUGAGCUGAGAUAGUGCCACUACACUCCAGCCUGGGAGACAGAGCAAGACCCUGUCUCAAAACAACAAAAAACAAAAACCGAACAAACAAAAACUGUAAUUGCUGAAACGCUCUUUUUCAUCAAUCAUAUAUAUUGAACCAGGGUCACGAAAACAUGGGAAAAGUGUAAUUUCUGCCUCUGAGGAAC
rnacentral:lncRNA from 1 species